GACGAACGCUGGCGGCGUGCUUAACACAUGCAAGUCGAACGGUGAAGGGGUCUGCUUUUGUGGGCCCUGGAUGAGUGGCGAACGGGUGAGUAACACGUGAGUAACCUGCCCCCUUCUUCUGGAUAACCGCAUGAAAGUGUGGCUAAUACGGGAUAUUCUGGGUCUGUCGCAUGAUGGGUCUGGGAAAGAUUGCGCCUUUGGGUGUUUUUGGUGGGGGAUGGGCUCGCGGCCUAUCAGCUUGUUGGUGGGGUGAUGGCCUACCAAGGCGGUGACGGGUAGCCGGCCUGAGAGGGUGGACGGUCACACUGGGACUGAGACACGGCCCAGACUCCUACGGGAGGCAGCAGUGGGGAAUAUUGCACAAUGGGCGCAAGCCUGAUGCAGCGACGCCGCGUGAGGGAGGGAGGCCUUCGGGUUGUAAACCUCUUUCGCCAGUGAAGCAGGCCUGCUCCUUGUGGGUGGGUUGACAGUAGCUGGAUAAGAAGCGCCGGCUAACUACGUG
rnacentral:rRNA from 1 species